GGUCCCCAUGAUUAAGGGACCAGCAGAUUCCACAUCUGGUGAAGGCUGACCUCCUGGAUGUCUUCUCCCUGUGUCCUCAUUUGGCAGAAGAAGGGAGAGGGAGCUGUCUGGGGUCUCUUUUAUAAGGGCGCUGACCCCAGGAAGAACCCUCAUGACCUAAUCACCUCCCAAAGGCCCCACUUCUUAAUAUUCUCACAUUGGAGUUUAGGUUUUAACCUAUGAAUUUUGGGGGGAUAUAAACAGUCAGUCUGUAGCAGUGAUUUAUCAUUUGUUCAGAAAAUAAUGUAAAACAAAUAUAUUCUGCUCAGUGUCUAUGCCUUGGCCAAAGGAAACAGAAAACACAUAAGAUAUUCCUAUAUCAUACAUGAUGAGGUACAGGGAAGACCGGUAAGGAUAAACUCGCUCUUGCUUGUCAUAGUUCUAUAAAAUAAUACAACAAAAUAACUUGACUAAUUGAGCCCAUAAGAAAACAAUUUCUAAAAAUAUUUUGUGUGUGUGCUAGAAAUCGUCACUAGCACCAGUUAGUGUUGAAGCCAAAGAACAAUGAUUAAUUCACUUAUAGGAUUUGGGUCAGUUAUUAUUUAUUAUUGUUAUUAUUUAUCCUUAGAAUUGGGCAAAUAUUGGAGUUAUACAAUCAUAUUAUUUCAAGGAAAUCUCCCCAAAGAAAAUAAUAACCUUCAUCAAUAUGUAAAUCCAUUCUACUUGGCCUUUGUGAAAUCUAAAUAUUGACUCCCUCCUUCUUCAACGUUUUUGUCCACAUCAGUCAUCUUUAAAAAUGCAACUGCCUAAUUUCUAGAAAGUCAGUAUCACAGCUCAAGUCAUUACGGCAGAAGGAAGGGUAGUCUCAGUCCUGUUUUUAGGAUAAUUAGGACAUCAUCCACGGGGCAGGCUUGAGUCUUUUGGUUCGGGAAUUUUCUGCCCUGAGAAAAGACAUCAUUGAGAUACAGGUAGAGUGUUCCUUAUCCAAAAUGCUUAGGACCAGAAGUGUUUCAGAUUUUAGAUUUUGGAAUAUUUGCAUAUACAUAAUGAGAUAGCUUGGGGAUGGGACCCAAGUCUAAACAUGAGAUUCAUUAUGUUUCAUAUACACCUUCUACACAUAGCCUGAAGGUAAUUUUAAACAGCAGUUGUAAUAAUUUUGUGCAUGAAACAAAGUUUUGACUGUGUUUUGACUGUGACUGGCCACAUGAAAUUAGGUGUGGAAUUUUCCACUGUGGUGUCAUGUUGACAAGCAAAACGUUUUGGAUUUUAGAUUGUUGGAUUAGGGAUGCUCAACCUGUGUAGAUUUAUCAUUUUUAAAAAUGCUUCCAUCUUUGAAGGAACUUUCAUGUAAUCCUGUUCAGAAGAAUGUAGAACGAAAUUUAAGGCAGGUUCUUCCCAUACCUUCAUCUAAGGAAGCUUAGAUGCUGAAAUCCCCCAGAGGAGGUUGUAAUGUGAGGGUGGAGAUGAGGCUGCUGUUACAAAGGGGCCCAGUGACACAGUCUGAUAAAGAAGAUAGACUCUGGAGGCUGAGACAGGAGAAUUGCUUGAACCCGGGAGGCAGAGGUUGCAGUGAGCCGAGAUCACGCCACUGCACUUCAGCCUGGGCAACAGAGUGAGACUCCAUCUCAAAAAAAAAAAAAAAAGAGAAGAUAGACUUUUCUCUCUCAUGGAACAGUCCUCAGGCAGCAAUUAGUCUAGGGCCGCAGGCUGCUCUGCUCCCCAGUCAGCCUGGUGCGGGUUCUGUCUGUUCUGUGGCUCUAUCCUGUCCAGAGUGUGGUCCUCACACAGCAGAAGUUGUGACACGCAGUUCACAACUUUUCGGCCGGGAGAGGCUGGACAUGCAGUUUUCUUUUUAAAGACAUUGGCCCAGGGGCCAGGCACAAUAGCUCAUGUCUAUAAUCCCACUGCUUCUGUAGGCCAAGGGGUGAGAAUUGCUUGAGUCCAGGAAUUUGAGACCAGCCUGGGCAACACAGCAAGACCCUGUUUCUACAAACAAAACAAAACAAAACAAAAAACAUUAGCUGGACAUGGUGGUGUGCACCUGGAUUUCCAGCUACUCAAGAGGCUGAGGUGGGAGGAUUGCUAGAGCCCAGGAGCUCGAGGCUAUAGUGAGAUAUGAUUACACUACUGCAUUUCAGCCUGGACAAUAGAGCAAAACUCUGUCUCUAAAAGAGAAAAAAAAGACACUGCCCCAAAUUUGCACUUACCCCUUGUGCUCACAUCCCAUGGGUGAGAACUGAGUCACAGGCCACACCUAGUUGUAGAGAAGGAAACGUGGCCUCUUGCUGUGUGACCAUGUGCUCAGCAAAAAUUCAGAGGGUUCUUUUGCUAGAAGAAAUAAGGAAAUGAUGGAUACAGAUGGAUACAGGAUGUGGGGUGAGGGAAUUAGGCUCUACCAUGG
rnacentral:lncRNA from 1 species